GACGAACGCUGGCGGCGUGCCUAAUACAUGCAAGUCGAACGCAGUGGGGACGGGUGAGUAACACGUGGGUAACCUACCAUCAGAGGGGAUAACACUUGGAAACAGGUGCUAAACCGAUACUGAUGGAUGGACCAGGUGUGCAUUAGCUAGUUGGUGGGGUAACGGCUCACCAAGGCCACGAUGCAGAGCCGGCCUGAGAGUGUGAUCAGCCACACUGGGACUGAGACACGGCCCAGACUCCUACGGUAGGCAGCAGUGGGGAAUCUUCGACAAUGGGCGAAAGUCUGACCGAGCAAUGCCGCGUGAGUGAAGAAGGUUUUCGGAUCGUAAAACUCUGUUGUUGGAGAAGCGGUAUCUAACCAGAAAGCCACGGCUAACUACGUGCCAGCAGCCGCGGUAAUAC
rnacentral:rRNA from 1 species